UACACUUCUAACAGUGGAAAAUACAGCAUAUUUUAUUUAAUAGCUUGUUAACCUGACUUAUCAUAUGUUCAUACAUGAAGUAUGUGGACAUUCAUUUGUCCUCUUGACCUUGUCCCACAAAUAUUGAGGGGAGGCCUGGUAGUAAACAAUGAAAAUUAACCCACACAUAGAUAAUGAUAGACUAUCUAGGAGUGUAAUGUUAGUACUGAGUAAGAACUCUUAAAUUUUGAGGAAAGAGCCUCUAAUAUUAGCCUAGAACUCUUAACAAUUAAAUAACUUAAGCAAAUCUGGGAGUUGGUCAUUGGGAAAGAAGGGGAAAAUUAAGUCAUUCUAUAAAAGUCUCAUGGGAGUGUUGAGGGAGAACCAGAGAGUAAUAUUGGAUGUCUUAUUUUCAAAGAUGUAGGGAAAUUUUCAUUUGAUUAUGAGAGGUAGGGAUGGAAAUAACUAUAUAAUUUGAGAUAGAGUUUACAUAAACACGUAUACAGAUACCCAUACAGAAAGAUUUUAAAAGCACACCUAUGAAUAAGAUGAACUAGUCAUCAAACUAUAUGCCCCAAAGCAGUCUAACAAGAUAAUUAUAUACAGCAAAAAGUUACAGAUGCAAGGCAUGCAUGACAGAAAUGCAACCGUUACAGCAGAAUUCAGUGUAUCUAGUUCAGCAUGAGCUCUGACACCUCUAAAUAAGUGACAACAUAGAAUAUACUGACAACAAGAAACCCAAAUAUCUGACAAUGCAUUUGUUAUUAUGUUGACAAAGCUUUGAUAAAAAUUGAACAUUUGCUUGACCAUAAAGAAAAUUUUAAUGAAAGUUUCAACAUAUAGACCAUGCUGCUGCUGCUGCUAAGUCGCUUCAGUUGUGUCCGACUCUGUGCGACCCCAUAGACGGCAGCCCAUGAGGCUCCCCCGUCCCUGGGAUUCUCCAGGCAAGAACACUGGAGUGGGUUGCCAUUUCCCUCUCCAACGCAUGAAAGUGAAAAGUGAAAGUGAAGUUGCUCAGUCGUGUCUGACUCUUAGUGACCCCAUGGACUGCGGCCCACCAGGCUCCUCUGUUCAUGGGAUUUUCCAGGUAAGAGUGCUGGAGUGGGGUGCCGUUGCC
ensembl:lncRNA